rnacentral:tRNA from 1 species
GGUAGGAUGGCCGAAGUAGGCGGCGGGUUGUAGCCCCGUAGAUAGAGGUUUAAGUCCUCUUCCUGUCA